rnacentral:misc_RNA from 1 species
GCGAAGCAGAAGCAGAGCCACAAUUUUGGUGAAAAAACUAUCAUACAAUACUAGGAAAUACUAUUUUCAACUAGAAUGAAAAGAAAUAAAGAAUACCCUGUUUCUAGGAAUUGGGUUUGAUUUAGCAUGUGCCUGGUUUGCGCUAGCAUGUACGUCCGUUCAUCUUCAGGUUUGAGUUGCUCAUAUCGGAACAAAAACUUGGCGACGAACGUCGUUGGGUAUUCAGAAUCAUGAGAAAGUUGGGAAAGCAGCUCAGCGAAAAUUCUUGCUCUAUAAUUUGAAUCAAUUUGCAAUUCUGGUUCAUAGAUUGAAACUCUUCCAAGUAAUUCAUUACUUUCUCCCAGCUUCUGAAUCUCCUCCUUUUG